GUUCCUCAAGAUGUCUGAUAUACUCAUGCAUGUACUUCUCCUCAACAAAACUACCGAUCUGCUGCUUCUUUCACCUCACUAGCACCAGAUGAAAUGGCACCGUCUUUAAAACAUUUUAAAUUGGCUCUAGGGGUGAAAUUAUCAACAGGUUGUUGUUGUCCAUCAUUCAGCGUAUUCGGAGUCUUGAACACGUUCAUGUAGUGGCCAGGAUUUCCUGGAUCAGGGUAAUGUGCUGGAACCUUACAGAAUGUCGCCCCCACCCAAGUGUCUCCCGGCAUCUGUUGCAAAUGUCUUUGUAUGCCUGUCAAAAAUGCGUGCAAACUGAGUGCCAUUAUGCUUCAAUUUCUUUAAUUUCCAUUCCGUUUGUACGAAAUAUCCCAUAAACAUAGAACACAUCAUUCUUGCAAAUCGUAUAUGCUUUUUUGUUUUUGGAACUGCUACUUUUUGGCGCGUAAGUUACUUCACAAACCUGGCGCCAAAAAAAUUUCAAAUAAGCUAUAGGUGAUUUCAUGUAUCCAUUUAGAAGAGCAGACUAAGGAUAUCUUAAAACUGAAAUCGGUUUCGAAUACAACCAUCAGGGACGUAGCAAAGCAUCUGACGUUUGGGGUGGGGUGUGUCAGAGGAUUAUACGUAUUGGCACUCUCAUACUAAGUUUUGGGAGAAAAGGGGGGUCUGGGGGUCCUCCCCCAGAAAAUUUUUACAUUUUUGAAGCUCUAGGACUGAAUUUCUGGCGUUUUCUAAAGCAAAUUUCGCAAACAAAUUACAUGUAAAUUGACUGUAUUUUACAAAAAUGGUUAUCAUUUCACAAAAAUAAUUACUUUAUUACGCAAAUUUUAC
rnacentral:lncRNA from 1 species